rnacentral:rRNA from 1 species
UACGUAGGGUGCGAGCGUUGUCCGGAAUUACUGGGCGUAAAGAGCUCGUAGGUGGUUUGUCACGUCGUCUGUGAAAUUCCGGGGCUUAACCUCGGGCGUGCAGGGGAUACGGGCAAUACUUGAGUGCUGUAGGGGAGACUGGAAUUCCUGGUGUAGCGGUGAAAUGCGCAGAUAUCAGGAGGAACACCAAUGGCGAAGGCAGGUCUCUGGGCAGUUACUGACGCUGAGGAGCGAAAGCAUGGGUAGCGAACAGGAUUAGAUA